rnacentral:rRNA from 1 species
GGGUGAGUAACACGUGGAUAACCUACCUAUAAGACUGGGAUAACUUCGGGAAACCGGAGCUAAUACCGGAUAAUAUUUUGAACCGCAUGGUUCAAAAGUGAAAGACGGUCUUGCUGUCACUUAUAGAUGGAUCCGCGCUGCAUUAGCUAGUUGUAAGGUAACGGCUUACCAAGGCAACGAUGCAUAGCCGACCUGAGAGGGUGAUCGGCCACACUGGAACUGAGACACGGUCCAG